GUACACUUGAGCAGUACAUACACUAAAAUUGGAACAAUGCAGAGAAGAUGAGCACGGCCCCUGCACAGGAUACCAUACAAAUUCAUGAAGCAUUCCAUCUUUUU
rnacentral:snRNA from 2 species